rnacentral:rRNA from 1 species
UGGGGAAUAUUGGACAAUGGGCGCAAGCCUGAUCCAGCCAUGCCGCGUGGGUGAAGAAGGCCUUCGGGUUGUAAAGCCCUUUUGUUGGGAAAGAAAAGCAGUCGGUUAAUACCCGAUUGUUCUGACGGUACCCAAAGAAUAAGCACCGGCUAACUUCGUGCCAGCAGCCGCAGUAAUACGAAGGGUGCAAGCGUUACUCGGAAUUACUGGGCGUAAAGCGUGCGUAGGUGGUGGUUUAAGUCUGUUGUGAAAGCCCUGGGCUCAACCUGGGAAUUGCAGUGGAUACUGGGUCACUAGAGUGUGGUAGAGGGUAGCGGAAUUCCCGGUGUAGCAGUGAAAUGCGUAGAGAUCGGGAGGAACAUCCGUGGCGAAGGCGGCUACCUGGACCAACACUGACACUGAGGCACGAAAGCGUGGGGAGCAAACAGGAUUAGAUACCCUGGUAGUCCACGCCCUAAACGAUGCGAACUGGAUGUUGGGUGCAAUUUGGCACGCAGUAUCGAAGCUAACGCGUUAAGUUCGCCGCCUGGGGAGUACGGUCGCAAGACUG